AAAACCCCAUACAUGUCAUGUUGGUAUUGAUCGUCUCUCUUUUCUCUCUCUUCUCUCUCUUCCUCGAUGCUUUUCUUUUAUGUCUGAGAAAUCACUCGUCUUGCUCUCCUUCUCCAAAUCCGUAGCAGCUAGAGAACCUCGGCGAAAUCAGAUUGGUGGCUAGGAUUGUGCUGGGACUCAGGUCGGAUCUCGAUGUCAGACGACUCGUCAACGAUAUCGAACGAAUCGAUCUGCUGACGAACGAGACCUUUCUCUAUGAAGUAGGCUGAUAUAACGGUCCAUGCGUCCUGUUCGUAUUUGAUCUCCUCUCGUUGAAGAUUGAAGAACAGAGUAGAGAGAAAGAAAGAGAGAGAGAGAGAGAGAGAGAGAGAGAGCGCGAUUUUGUGGAGAUGAUCUCGAUCUCUCAUUCAAUCGGAGAAGAUGAUCUAUAUAUACCUUUUUUCUCACAACCGUAAUCACAGCCACAGAUAGAGGCUUGGUAUCCCGAAGAAUAGCAUGUACACCUUACUGCAGCCCUAUCGCCAAAAGGAUGGUGCUCUGCUUGCUGUUGGGACACUUUGUGAUAAACUUAGGCAAACUGAACCCUACAAAUCCGAGCUGGAGAAUAUGCUAGUGCAACAUGUUUUUCCUGAAUUCAGCAGCCCAGCUGGUCAUCUUAGAGCCAAGGUUUUAGUUACUGCGUUUGGUUGUUUAGAUCCCCUUUUCAUUCGUUUCUGUUAAGAAAAUAAUACCUCUAUUCAUUUUUAUAAUACAGUUGGAAUAACUCAACUCCGUUAUAGAAUUACUUUAUUUUGUCGAAA